AACAUCGCGCACCUGCGGGAACCUGCGGAAGGAUCAUUACCGAGUUUACAACUCCCAAACCCAUGUGAACAUACCUAUCGUUGCUUCGGCGGAUCGCCCCGGGCGCCUUGCGUGCCCCGGAUCCAGGCGGCCGCCGGGGGACCUUAACUCUUGUUUUUACUGAGAAUCUUCUGAGUCGUUUUUACAAAUAAAUAAAAACUUUCAGCAACGGAUCU
rnacentral:misc_RNA from 1 species